ensembl:lncRNA LINC02436 long intergenic non-protein coding RNA 2436
GUCCUGAGUUCCAGAGCCUCAAAGAGCACCCAGCAUAACUGUGGGAGAAUAGUAAGCAUUGGACACAAAAUGGUUUAGGCAAAUAAUGAUGAACAAAAAUGGUCAGUCUGUGUUCCUGCUGACCCAGCACAGUGGGGACGCUGUGUAGGACAUGACCUUUGGGGGAAAGGACACAAGAACUCAGCGUGGGGGAUCCAGAAAAGAAGUCGCACGUAUUGAAGCCAGUAACGCCAAGCCAGUGAAUUCUCCUUGACGAGAAAGACCCACUUACUCUGCAGAAGAGAUAUAUGACAGCUGACAAUCCCUGGAGGAGAAUCUUUCUACUAAAUUGUUGAAAACAUUCAAGUACGGAAUAAACUAUUACUGCGAAUACGCUCAUAUGACACAAGAACAAUCUCUGAGCUUCUUUGAGGAUGUCCAGAUGACUGCUGACUGCACUAAUUGCAUCAAUCGUGUAUCCAUACAGGUUCUUUCUAUAAAAUAGUGGUCGCUAGUUAUGAGGCGUUAAGCCUUCAUGGAUAUAAACAGACUAUUCCACCUAAGUGAUCUGGCAGAAGCUUAGUUUUCUACCACAACAUCCACCGUCCUCCCUCCCUCCCUUCCUAGCUGGUCAGAAAAGCUACUCAGAAUAAAGACUACAUUUCCCAGCCAUCUUUGCAGCUAGGUUUAUCCACCUGACUAAAUUCCACCGGCAUCUAUUCAACGAAGACGAAUCCUGGAAUGGGGAUGGAAAUGAUGGCUCAUGUCUUAGCAAACUACCAAACUGAUCCGAGAGGACAGGGAAGUCAGUGUGGGCGGCUCUAAGGAGCCUCCCUCUCUACAGCUGCGGCUCAGAGGAUUACGGCGCUUCAUCCACAAGGCAACAUUGCACAAGUAGCUUUUGAACAAAAGUCAUGGAUACUAUUAAUGAUAUGUUCCCACACACAUUUAGUGUCGUCUCAAAAUUCACGCUGUCAACUGUCUCUAGGAAUCAUUUCCAUCUGAGAACAGACCACACAAAGACACAGUGAAACUCAGUUUCUGCAGAAUUUGAUUUCAUUUGAGUUACUGGGGAACAAAGCAAUUAGACAAUGAAUAAUAGCUCAAGACAGGCUGAAGCUGAAGAUUUCUGCAAAAGAAUGAAGAGGAAACGUUUUGAUCCUGAGCAGAUGUUCUCCCUAGAUUGCUUCACCUGAGGUUGAUUGACUUUUGGAAACGAGAUUUGUUCCCAGUGCUUUGUGAGUCUCUUGUUGGAAGGACUGUCUUUAAAUUAAAGCAAUUAGAGUUACUUUAUAAGAUUUACCCAAAUAUAAGAGCUGAAGAGAAUAAUUCAAAUUGAUCAGAAGAAAAUACUCAAUUACUGACAAAUGUCAAUUACAUCAAUAGCCUAGGCUGCUCUUGAACUCCUGGGCUCAAACGAUCCUCCCCUGUCGGCCUCCCAAAGUGCUGGGAUUACAAGCUUGAACCACCAUGCCCAGCCUCAGAAAUUUUUUAAAUGACAGCUCAUACAGUUUUCUUUUAUAAAGGAGGAGAAAAUGUGUAAUUGUAAGCAGCUGAACUAAAAUAUCUCUGUGACAUUUUGCUGGUGACUCCAGCCCUGUGAGAUCUGAGUGGCUCAGGAAUCAAAUUCUCCCACAAACCUGAGGAAGCCUUUUAUUCUUAAUGCCAACAGGAUGCCCCAUGCCCAGAAUGUCAAAUCUGAACACCAAUGGAAUGCAUUUUAUAAACAAAUUGAAAAA